AGGUCUGACCUGCCCACUGAAAUUAUUUUAAAUGGCCGCAGUAAUUUGACUGUGCAAAGGUAGCAUAAUCAUUAGUUUUUUAAUUAAAAGCUUGUAUGAAGGGUUGGACGAGAUAAAAUCUGUCUCUAUUUAAUUUAUUAUAAAAUUUAAUUUUUAAGUUAAAAAGCUUAAAUUUUUUUAAAAGACGAGAAGACCCUAUAGAUCUUUAUAGUUUUGAUUUUGAAUUUAAUUAAUAAAUUUUUAUGGUUUAUAAUUUAAACUAUUUUAUUGGGGUAAUAGAAAGAUUAAAAUAAUUCUUUUUUUCUUUAAACAUUUAUUUAUGUUUUUAAUGAUCCAAUUUUAUUGAUUAUAAGAUUAAGUUACCUUAGGGAUAACAGCGUAAUUUUUUUAGAGAGUUCUUAUCGAUAAAAAAGUUUGCGACCUCGAUGUUGGAUUAAAGAUUAGUUUAGGUGUAGAAGUUUAAAUUUUUGGUCUGUUCGACCAUUAAAUCUUUACAUGAUCUGAGUUCAGACCGGCGUAAGCCAGGUCGGUUUCUAUCUUUAAUAAUUUUAAAAUAUUUUAGUACGAAAGGACCAAAUAUUUAAUAUAUUUAUAUUUAAUUUUUUGAAUAUUAUU
rnacentral:rRNA from 1 species